rnacentral:lncRNA from 1 species
AUUAGGUUUACAUGCAUACAUUUCCACCUAGCACAUUACAAUGCCAACCUGCACAUACAUAUGCAUCAACAAGAAUCCAUAUUCCACUUUGACAUGCAGGCGACCUAGUCGCUUCGGUAAGCACAACCCACCUCGAUUCGCUCUCCGAUUGCUUGUAGUCACUUGCAAUCGGCCUCCCGCGGCACGCGACACUCGGCUCGGCCCGAUCUUGCAAUUUCACACCAACCGUGCACCAAAUCGCGGCCCAGGAAAUUAUAGGUCUUCGUUUAGUUGCCGCAGUGUUCGGGAUCCGUUCUCGUGAUUUUUGGACGUCGCCUCGGCCUUCC